UACGGAGGGUGCGAGCGUUAUCCGGAUUCACUGGGUUUAAAGGGUGCGUAGGCGGGUUGGUAAGUCCGUGGUGAAAUCUCCGAGCUUAACUCGGAAACUGCCGUGGAUACUAUCGAUCUUGAAUAUCGCGGAGGUAAGCGGAAUAUGUCAUGUAGCGGUGAAAUGCUUAGAGAUGACAUAGAACACCGAUUGCGUAGGCAGCUUACUACACGAUUAUUGACGCUGAGGCACGAAAGCGUGGGGAGCAAACAGG
rnacentral:rRNA from 1 species